UACGGAGGGGGCGAGCGUUGUUCGGAAUUACUGGGCGUAAAGCGCACGUAGGCGGUGCGGUAAGUCAGGGGUGAAAGGCUGCAGCUCAACUGCAGUAAGGCCUCAGAUACUAUCGUGCUAGAGUGCCGGAGAGGGGAGCGGAAUUCCCUGUGUAGCGGUGAAAUGCGUAGAUAUAGGGAGGAACACCGGUGGCGAAGGCGGCUACCUGGCCGGUAACUGACGCUGAGGUGCGAGAGCGUGGGGAGCAAACAGG
rnacentral:rRNA from 1 species